AUUGAACGCUGGCGGUAUGCUUAACACAUGCAAGUCGAACGAUGAGAAAGAGCUUGCUCUUUCGAUUAGUGGCGGACGGGUGCGUAACGCGUAGGAAUCUACCUAUUAGUGGGGGACAACUUAGGGAAACUUAAGCUAAUACCGCAUACGCCCUACGGGGGAAAGAAGGGGAUCGCAAGACCUCUUGCUAAUAGAUGAGCCUGCGUAGGAUUAGCUAGUUGGUGGGGUAAAAGCUCACCAAGGCGACGAUCCUUAACUGGUUUGAGAGAAUGAUCAGUCACACUGGAACUGAGACACGGUCCAGACUCCUACGGGAGGCAGCAGUGGGGAAUAUUGGACAAUGGGCGAAAGCCUGAUCCAGCAAUACCGCGUGUGUGAAGAAGGCCUUAGGGUUGUAAAGCACUUUCAAUUGGAAGGAAAACCUCGAAGCUAAUACCUUCGAGUUUGACAUUACCUUUAGAAGGAGCACCGGCUAACUCCGUGCCAGCAGCCGCGGUAA
rnacentral:rRNA from 1 species